rnacentral:tRNA from 1 species
GGAGUUGUGGCUCAGUGGUAGAGCGCUCGUCUAACAUGUGCGGGUCCCUGGAUUCGAUCCUCAGCACCA